AGGGAAGCAAUCACAACCAUCCAUAUUUUAUCAAAAAAUCUCAACAAGGGGGCCACAUCUUUUGAUGAUCAACCACAGUCAUGAUCAUCAAGCUUUAAAGCAUGAUGCGUUUGGUGCUCGCCGCAUCUGAUUAUUGGCGAAAGUCCACCACUAGCUAAACAACUGCUGACGCUACUCUGUCCCUCAAGAGGAACAACUCUAACCAGACAUUGUGGACGCUGUUGGGUCCCUGUUUAAAGCUGAGUUUCAACAGCACAGCAUCAAUGAAACCUAUGUGGGUUUUUAAAUGUGAACCAAUGUUUUAAUUAGGGUGAAAAUGAGAAGUUGUUACACGAAACUACAUGGCUGUUCUAGUGUCACAAUCAAAC